rnacentral:tRNA from 1 species
GAGGGGCCAGUGGUUAAGGCGAUGGACUGCUAAUCCAUUGUGCUCUGCACGCAUGGGUUCAAAUCCCAUCCCUCA